UUGCCCAAACUCCUGAAUAUGUUAUCCCAAAUCCUAGAAACCAAACAAGAAGUCGGAGGUUCAUGAUUCUUUUUGCGCAAAUUAUUUAAUGUCCUCUCCUGUUGAUACGCUGUAGAUUAAUAUAUUGCGCGGCUGAUUUGACCCAAAGCUGGCUAUAGUGGCAAUCCGCUUUCCGACUGUGCGCUUUCCGUGUGUCAGCCGAUAAAAUAACUACGGAGUUUUUAGCGCACUGAUUAAUGUGAUGCUUAUGAGACAUCGUCUGUCAAUACCCAACAUGGCUUUCA